GGCAAGCUCGUGGUAGCUUUGUUCUUUCUCUCUUUGCAAUAAAUCUUGCUCCUGCUCACUCUUUGGGUGCACACUGCCUUUAUGAGCUGUAACACCGCGAAGGUCUGCAGCUUCACUCCUGAAGCCAGCCGGACCCGAACCCACCGGGAGAAACGAACAACUCCAGACGCGCCACCUCAAGAGCUGUAACACUCACUGUGAAGGUCUGCAGUUUCACUCCUGAGCCAGCAAGACCACGAACCCACCAGAAGGAAGAAACUCCGAACACAUCUGAACAUCAGAAGGAACAAACUCCGGACACGCUGCCUUUAAGAACUGUAACACUCACGGCGAGGGUCCGCGACUUUAUUCUUGAAGUCAGUGAGACCAAGAACCCAC
rnacentral:lncRNA from 1 species